AGUGUAGAGGUGUGCAGUCAGCAGCUGUAAUUCGGGGUGUGCAAGGGUUAAUCGGAAUUACUGGGCGUAAAGCGCGCGUGGGUGGUUUGUUAAGUUGGAGGUGAAAGCCCCGGGCUCAACCUGGGAACUGCAUCCAAAACUGGCAAGCUAGAGUACGGUAGAGGGGGGUUGAAUUUCCUGUGUAGCGGUGAAAUGCGUAGAUAUAGGAAGGAACACCAGUGGCGAAGGCGACCACCUGGACUGAUACUGACACUGAGGUGCGAAAGCGUGGGGAGCAAACAGGAUUAGAUACCCUGUAGU
rnacentral:rRNA from 1 species